GAUGAAGAACGUAGCGAAAUGCGAUAAGUAAUGUGAAUUGCAGAAUUCAGUGAAUCAUCGAAUCUUUGAACGCACAUUGCGCCCCCUGGUAUUCCCGGGGGCAUGCCUGUCCGAGCGUCAUUACAACCCUCAAGCUCAGCUUGGUGUUGGGCCCCGCCGCCCCGGCGGGCCCUAAAGUCAGUGGCGGUGCCGUCCGGCUCCGAGCGUAGUAAUUCUUCUCGCUCUGGAGGUCCGGUCGUGUGCUCGCCAGCAACCCCCAAUUUUUUUCAGGUUGACCUCGGAUCAGGUAGGGAUACCCGCUGAACUUAAGCAUAUCAAUAAGCGGAGGA
rnacentral:misc_RNA from 1 species